UCAGAUGACAGGAAAUGAUCGCCAUCAUCCUGUUUGUCGAGCAAAGAGGAGGAUGAGGAUGAUGAUGACUGCCUGGUCGCUCCCCGGUUACCUGGCAACGCUAUGACAGGGUCUUCCGUUGCCGUCACGCCUCAUGUCACACAGUUUCCCACAUGUGGCUCACUCUUCUGAGGACUGGGGUUCAGAUCCUGGCUCAGCCUGUGUGUGCUUUCUCCAGGUACUCAGGUUUCCUCCCACAUCCCCACAAACAUGCAUGUUCAGGGUGUGCUUCUCGCAUGACGAUAGCUGGGAUAGGCUUCAGCACAUCUAUGACCCUAAUGAGGAUAAGCAGCUCAGAAAAUGAAAACAGACUUUCUGUUUUUCCAACUUUUUUCUUGUGAG